rnacentral:rRNA from 1 species
UCGAUCAUGGUCCUUAUGUCCAGGGGCCUUACACACGGUGCUACAAUGGUAGUUACAGAGGGCAGCGAGGCCGCAAGGCGGAGGCUAAUCUCCAGAAAAGCCUGCCACAGUUCGGAUUGAGGUCUGCAACUCGGCCUCAUGAAGCUGGAAUCGCUAGUAAUCGCGUAACAGCAUGACGCGGUGAAUACGUUCCCGGGGCUU